rnacentral:pre_miRNA from 1 species
AUAGUACUUCCUCCGUCCGGAAUUACUUGUCGUUAAAAUAGAUGUAUAUAGAACUAAAAUACAUCUAGAUACAUCCAUUUCGAUGACAAGUAUUUUCGGACGGAGGGAGUAGGAU